CAGCAGCCACGGUAAUACAGAGGGUGCGAGCGUUAAUCGGAAUUACUGGGCGUAAAGCGCGCGUAGACGGUUUUGUAAGUCAGAUGUGAAAUCCCUGGGCCCAACCUGGGAACUGCAUUUGAGACUGCAUGGCUAGAGUAUCGAAGAGGGAAGUGGAAUUUCCGGUGUAGCGGUGAAAUGCGUAGAUAUCGGAAGGAACACCAGUGGCGAAAGCGACUUCCUGGUCGAAUACUGACGUUCAUGUGCGAAAGCGUGGGGAGCAAACAGGAUUAGAUACCCCCGUAGUCCCUGUCUCUUAUAC
rnacentral:rRNA from 1 species